UUUUUUUUUUUUUUUCUUUUAAUUUCAUGGGACCUACUGUAUUUUAAAUAAUAUUCCAUUGAAAGUAUAUUGCACAAUUCAUUGUAUUCAUCCAGUUUUCCACCACAAAUACUAGAAUAUGGUGGAAGGAAACAUUUGAACCUCACCACCAAAGGUCAAUUCCUGUUCUUCUUUUAUCUACACUGAUGUUCUAGCUUCAGUAUCCUUCUGAUAUUUCCUUUCAGAUAUUUUCUUUCUUUUAGUAAAAAUGAGGUCUGCAGGGUUUUUUUUCUCUUUUCCAUACUUAAACUGUAACAUAGCUUUGCUUUGACAUUUUUGGCAUCUUUGAAGUGAAUGAAGUAGUGAAAAAACAUCUAUACAUUUGGAUUAUUAGGAUCAUGGCUAAAGGGACUUUUUCAUAUUAUUUCUACUAGCAAUGUAAUUUUUAAUAUUAAGUUUAAUUUAUAGCAGUAGGAACUCAAAACCAUACCAAUGACUUCAGUGAGUUUACCCUAACUUUCACUGAGAAGAGGCUUGACAGUUGAAGAUCAUUGAAGUUGGUCCAGAUUUACCUCAGUAAUAUUUUAGACAAUGAAUCUGAGAUUUGUUUAUGGGAGUAUGAAAGGGUAAUUUUCAGAGGACAAUACAAGGCCAAAUUGAAUUAUCAUGAACAGCAUCCCUGAGAAACCAAUGACUUAGCUUUUAUUUGCUGAGAACAUUCUCUUACAGGCUGGAUGGCUUCUUGGAGGAGACAAGAAAGGUCAAAAUCCUAUUUACAAGCACUAGUAGUACAUUGUCAUAUCUCUGACAUAUUUCUAUUAAAGUAUUAAAUAUAGCUCAGCCCUUAAUGACUUUCAACAAAGAACUGCCAGUUCAAAUAGCCAUCUUUAGGGUCUUGUGUUUGUAUUUUUUUUUAUUUUGAGCUAUCUUCUUGAGCUAUCUUAUGUGGCAUAAAAUAUUACUUAUCAUUUAACAACCUGAAUAGCCAUUAAAACACCAUCUGAAACAAAACAUAUACACUGUUUAUUAAGUCCAUUUGUGUAUAGCAUUGGCUUCUAAAACCACUCAGACUUGUUAAUUCAAUGAUUAGACAAUAAAAAAUAUGUUCUGCUCAUUUGUAUUAGUGUAACAUCUAAUAAAACAACCUCCAAGCCAUGACUUGGAGGAGAAAUUUAUUUUCAUAUUAUUCACAGUGAAUUGCUCUUGAUAUUAAUUACACCAGAGCAAUGAUAUUGAAUCUAUUGCUUUUUAGAUCCUCCUGUACCCUGUAGUCUGACUGAUCUUCAUUUUCCUUUUACAACAUACCAGGGAAAAUAUGAUACCUAUAAUAUAGAACUGGACAUGUACAAGCUGAAAUGAUCCAAAUUAGCUGCAAAACCAGCUACUAAGUCACAGCCAACAAUGCUGCGUUCAAGGCUAGGAGACUGCCAAUAGAGGAAAGAAGUCACUACCUAAUAGAAAUAAAUCUUAAUGUUGAUGAGGCAGGGAAAAUUAAGGAAGUGAUACAGAAGAGUCCAAGAUAAUUGCAUUCUGCCUUAAUGAACUUGCUGUUUAAUUUUUCUAGCUAGAGUAAUUUAUGGUUUCUUUAAAUUUGGGGAUACAUUUGCGUUGUCCUGUUGGGAUCAAUGUUAUUUUCUAUCAAUUUAGGUGUGGUUUUGUCCUUGAAUUAUAGUCAAUGCUGUAGUAUAAACCAAGCUUGGUUAAAAAUAAAACAAAAAUAAUCAUACGAAAAAUGCUUUUUUUGCUCAGUCAAGUAACUGGGGUUUUAACAACUCUUACAUAUUUAGAAGCUGAGAGAGAGAGAAUGAGACAUUUUGAAAAAGAGUUAGUUGGGAAGAUGGAGAAUUUAAAGAGUUGUCAAACCAAGUUUAGAAAAAAUUUGAAGGUGGAAAUAAAGACAUAAGGGAUAAGAAAUUUCAGAAAACUUAGAAGAGAUCAAAGAAGCAAUUUGCCUACUUAUAUACAGCACAGAUGAGAAAGGUGGUUUCUAUCAUUUUGUUUUAAAUUUGUCAAAAAAGUUCUACCCCCAUGAGGAAUAAUUUCAAAGAAAGAUACAUGAAAUUCAAAAUACAUGAAACUGGUGAAACAGCACCACUCAGAAAGACUUGCUCCAAAUUUUACACACGAUGAUCAAUUCACAUAUGUAAUCAAGACAGAAGUUUCCAGGAAAAAUGUGCCCUACAUUGUGAAAUUGAAACAGUUGGGGGUUUUCUACAUCUGAGAAAUAGAAACCCUAACUUAUGUUAUUUCCUUCUAAAAGAGUCAAAAGAUAAUAUCAUAUCUAUAGAAAACCAGCCAUGGAUGCCAAAUUCCAAAACUUGCUUUGUUGAAAGUCUUAGAGGUAUUUCUGGUGAGUUAAUUGCUCCUUUUUUGUAGAAUUACCCUGUGAAAUGUAAAAUAAAGGUAACUGAAAGUUUCUCCUGUGGAGUUCAAUAUGAGGAGACAGAGACAAGAACUGUGCAAAGACCAUGUUCUUUUCCUGUUUCCAUGGUGAUACAGUUCUGGAAAAGACACUCCCAUUCAAACUGGUGGAUCCUUCUAAAACAUAUUAUUAAGUAGAUUAACAGUGCUUUUUAAGCAUUGGAAUGAAGUUCCUGAGCCCCAUUCAAACUCUUUCCAUCCCUCCCCAUUUAGAGAGCAUGAGCUAAGAGGAAUCACAAUGUAGAAAGGCCACAGAAAGCAGGAAGAUUCAUGAAGCCUCCCAUUUUGAAAAAUAAAGUAUUCAGAUGUAAAGUCUCCAAAAAUGGCUCACAUUCCUCACAUAUUUAUUGAAAUACAGAAUUUCUGGAUAAAAAAAAAAUGUCUCAGAGAUGUAUCUAUUUGUUGAUAUGACAUCUUCAUAAUCUACCUAUGUUGCUGCAUGCUGGAACUUAAGACUCACAAUUUACUGAAGACAUGAAUUUUAAUGAUUUGGCAUUGAGUUUUCUCUCUUAUGUAUGCACUUACAGUAGUAAGGAAGAUGAACCAUUUAAAUGGAGAUAGAACAUGUCAUCAUAUUAAUCAUACCUAUUAAAAAUUAGAGAAGCUACUGGGCAUACAUUUCCCUCUUGCAAACAUCAAACCUUGAAGCUAAGGUCAAGAAAAAAAUGCUCAAUGUACUUAUAUUAGGCCAUCCUUGAAAUCAGCACAAGUCUGAGAAUAUGUGAAUAGGAACUUAGGACAAUUAUUUCUCAUGAGAAAGAGAAAGACAGAUAGUCAUUGUCUGUUGUCACUGCAGGGGAAGUAGAAUAUAAUAUAUGGAAAGAUCAAUCUCUGUUUAGUUCAUUGUUUCUGAUCCUGAACAGAAUUAUAAAUAUUCCAGACUCUUCAUUGCAGGGUGAUUUUUAAGUCUUCACUGAGAACCAGGAGUGAGGAAGUGACUGUUCUGUAAGAAAUGUGCCCUUAUUUUCACUAGGGUGUUUCCACUCCUGAUUGAUUACAUGAGUUUGUCCUGCUGUGUAGUUGUUGCUUGGCUUAUCCUGUGUUGACACCACGAGGACACUGCUGCCUAGGAUGAAAUGUGCUACAUCCUGCAACAUGCACAUGAGAGAUCCAUAAAUGCUGACGUUUUUAUUUUGGUGUUAUCUACCAUGGCAGUGGUGGGGAUCUAUUGGUGUUAAGCUCUGUCAUACAAGAACAAACAAUUUGUCUCCUCAUUUUACCUAGAAAAUAAUUACUUAAUAGCUUUCCCUGGUAACAUCCAAACUCUGCUGGACUAUUUUUCCUUCAAGGUAGAUCAACUGGGCCAUUUAUUUCUGUCUUGUCUUUAACUUUGAAAUCUCUUUUUUCUAUUUCAGAUACAAAGAAAUAUUAAUGUGCCUGACAACUGAGUUAAUGUUUCACUUCUAGUAACCACUCUAGUAAAAGAUAAAACUUCUAUUGGCCCUGCUUAUAAGUCUCUAUCAAAAAUAUGCUUGAAUUUUCAUCCAGAAGAGGGCAAUAACGGUGAUGAAAGGGCUGGAAGGAACAUGCUGUGAGAACUAGUUGAGGUUUUGUCUGAUUUGGAGAAAAAAUGGGUGAAGGGUGACCUUAUGUCUCCUCCCUGAGGAGGAAAAGUGAAGAUGGAAGUGUUGAUUUUUUCUGGUAUCCAGUAGUCAAAAAACUAGGCCGGACUGUUGUAGGUCACUUCAAAAUGAAUAGCCAUAUUCUUUCUAUUCUAUUCUAUUCUAUUCUAUUCUAUUCUAUUCUAUUCUAUUCUAUUCUAUUAUUUUGUAACUAUCAGGUUUAUUACUAAAUGUGUUCAGACGGCAUUCUGCAAAUUUCCAAUAUCUUUUUCCUGUCCUAGCCUUUCAGAGAAGUCCAUAUUUUUGUUUGCCUAUACUCUUUUCAUCUACUCUCCCCAAGAGACACCCAGAAGUUCAUAUACAAUCAACAAUUUCCAGAGAGGUACUGGUGCUAGUGAAACAAAUUUCAGUAACCUGGUUAUUUCCCAUAAACUAGUACAGAAAAUCCUUUGCUUCUUUUUUGUCUCUCAUAUUUUCUGUCUCCUCAUUCAAAAACACUGCAGCACAUUCCAAAUUGUUAUUCUUAAAAAAGAUCUUAGGUCACUGUGCAAUCCAUAUAAUACAGCAGCACAUCCAUUUCCAUGUUCUCAUCUAUACUUAAAAAAUCAGGUUCUUGUAAACAUACAAUUUAAAUUAUUUUGAAUCUUUAAAAUAUAUUAGGAAUUAUCAGUUUGCUUUUUUCUCUUGGCUGUCAGAGCUGCUUUUGGAACAACAUUUGUAAAUAACAUUUGAUCUAUCUCAUAAUAUUGUUUCACUUAUUAAUAUAUUUUUUUUGAGUAGCUGGAUUUAGACACUUCUAAUUUCUACUCCCAGGCUAAUAUAAACUGAGUAAUCUUCCAUAGAUUUCAGGCCUCAAAGAUAAUAUAAAAUCUUUAAUGACAUAUUUUUUAUGUAGUGUUUAAUUAAUUGGAAUUUUUAAUUGUAGACUGAAAUAGGAAGUAAGCAGAGAGGCUGUCCUAGUUUACAGGUAUCAAAUUAUGUCAUUAAGAAGCACAGAGAAAUCAGAGAAAUGUGUCACUGAUAUUGUUACAUUUACUGUAUUAUGUAUUAACUAUUUAAAGCAUAAGUGUUUAUGCUCUUUAAUAAGAUAUAAAUUUUUAACUUUGACAUUAAAAAUUUAUUAUACAAUUUCAAAACAAUAGAAAAAAAUUGAGAAAUGCUACAUUUUUAUAGAAUCAGAGGAAUUUUUUUUUUUUUUUUAAAUAGAGAUUUUUAGUAAUCUAUCUUGUUUUCUUUAGCCACUUGAGUCCAAAAUAAUUUUUUGAAACUCCACAAUCAUGGGAAGAAGUGUGUUAUUUUGGUACAUUGAACUCACUAGUUUAAAUAGCAGUUCCAGAAUGAGCAUGCCUUUCCUGUAAAUCCAGUGUGACUUCUGCAAAAUUAGAGUUGGGACGAUAGCUCCUUCCCAGGAAUCUCCAUUUGACACAUAAAAUAGGUCAGGCGAAUUUUAUACUGACUGCGCUGCUUUCCUUUCAGAAAAUCCAAAGGAGCCCAGACUGACCAUUUGGGUUAGGACACAUAGGACACUUGAAACGUAGAAAAGUGAAUUGGAGGAGAUUAAUUUUCUAUGCACCAGUUAGGAUUCCUUUGUCUACUUUUUAGAAGAGACAAUUCAUUGUGGAUGCCCUGUAUUCUUGGUACUUAAUCUCAAAAAUCAACGUGAUUCCACUCUCUGAGGUAAUCAUUCCACUCACUAGGUAUAUUGGGUGCCCUCAGACCUGUCUCCUGAAACUGCUGUUAUUUUUGAGCAAUGCUUUAAAGAGGCAAGGUGUCAGAUGUUGGUAGAAACUUUCUUCAUGCAUAAGGAAUGAGAGCUUUUAAAGGAACUUUAAUAUUUGGAAAGUACAAACAUCUAAGGAAAAAAGUAUAUUUUUCAGGCUGAGGAAAUUCAUUCACUGAGAAACCUGGCAGAGAGCCAGGGUUGAUUCUUUCUCUAGUAUGUCACAUGUAUUUUUCAACCUUCAGUUUAUGUCCAAGAGUAUCUUAAAAAGUUAAAUUUUAGCAAAUGAAAAAAAGGGGUUUAUUUUAUAAAACCUGUUAAUAUUUAGAAAGCAUUUUUGUUUUUAGUCAAUAGUUUAGUCAAUAGGCAAUAGUCGAAAAUUUUAACAAUGCAGCCCUUGUGAAAGAUUUAUUGCUUUAGCAAAUAGAGGCCAGGUUCUCUUAUGUUAAUGACUGACUUUGAACCCAUCAAAAAGGCAUUAUAAUGCCAUUACUUCACUGCACUGUAAUUAGAAAUUUGCAAGGAAGGAAAUCGGUUUCGAGUUAUUUUAUCAUUUGUAUUCAGUGUAAAAGACAGUAGCAGAACUGACAGUGAUACUUUCAUUUUGACAGGUCUCUUUCCUAGGCUAGUUUUGAAAGCCCUACAGAUAUUUUAUUCCAAGACAGUGACGCAUUUUAGUACCUAAUAGUAAGAUCAAAGACUGUCAGAGAGAAAUUGUGGCUGAAUGCAACCUGCUUAUAUGUAAAACAAGACAUUGGAAUUCAGUGCUCUAACCUAGUUAAGCAAGGUACAAGCAACUCAUUCCCUCCUCAUUCCCUCCCUCUGGAAUGUGCGGACCACCCAUUGAAACCCUAAUCCUAAAAGCAGCAUGGAGUUUCUGAAGUAAAAUCCCCAUCUCUAUAUUUAAUUGUUGAUCAUAAACAGAGUUGCAUUUCCCAGGGAGAGAUAGUGUUGUGUCAUUUCUAUAUCCAGCUGGAAAUCCUGGAGCACUAUUGCAGUCCAUAGUAC
ensembl:lncRNA